AACAAAAUAGGUUUAUGCAGGUUGCUAUUUUGUCAUGUUUCUCCACUUGUCCUUCAAAUCAACCUCAGUUCUGUCAUAAAAUAUGUCACGCUUAAAGUCUAAGAUAGCCUUCCAGUUUCCUCUACCAAACAAUUGCACACCCUCCCUCAAUGCAUCUUCCUCUUCCACGCUCCACCUCUUGACUUUUCUCCUUCCAGCAAACUUGGGGAUUUUAUACUCCUUCAAUGGAGACACAACCUUUGUCCUUGGCUUAGCUAACUGAAAUCUGUUCAUACCACUGGCACCUUCAGGUGAACCAUCAAUUGAAUCAUCCCACUCAUAGGUACGAGCAGUACUAUUCUUCUCCAUUAAGGUGUGUUUGGAAACAACAAUCUGAUUGUUACAAAUUUGAAUUCCAGCACCAUUCUUCAUAGUUUGAAUGGAUUCAAUAGUUUGAGUAACUGAUGGAUUGGGUGUUUCUAUGGAGACUACAACAUUAACGGAAGGAUUGGGCACAUCUACACCCUUUCCAACCUGAUUUUCUACUAAAAUCUCCUUAUUCAAGGCUUUUCUUUCAGGCAUUAAAGCCUCAGACAAAUGUAAAGCAUUGGGUAGAGGGUCAUUCAACAAAGCUUUUAACUCCAUGGAGCUGGAUUUAAGUGCUUCUUUCACUAUUUUAACUUCAGGAGUAGGAAUGUUCAUGACUACUUUUUCAGAAUCCAUAAUGCCACCUGAUCCUUUAAGGUUGUUGCUAGUAUGAAGCAUAUCAUUGUUCUGAGUUUCUUUCCUUGCAGACCCAUCUGCAACACCU
rnacentral:misc_RNA from 1 species